UGCGCCCGUGUCUCUCUCUGUCUCUCCCUCUUUCUCUCCCUCUUUCCUCUCUUUCUCUCAGAAGUAAAUAUUAAAAAGAAAGCCGCAACAGCAGGAGUAAAAACCGAGUCUCCUAGUGCUGAAACACAGGCUGGCCGCCCAGUGCUCUCCACCUCUGCUGGCGUCCUGGCUCUGGGGAGUCUGGUGCGCAGGGCCUGUGCUAGCAAGGGGGGUGGCGCCACGGCCCUGGAAGCCGGGACUGGGCGGCGGGUCCCACCGACAGCCCAGGCCAUGGCUCUGAAGAAUGCCCGUAUGGGAGAGCCUCUGCAGAGCACUGGCCUGUCCCCCAAGGGCCACUGUCCCUGCCCACCUCCCACCUGUGACCGUCUGUGGACCAGACUUGACCCCUCCAGUUCCUCAUUUCUGGCAACCAAGGAGGUCACCUCCACUGGGAUCCUGGAGUCUGUUCCUUAACGUGUGUCCCUGGGUGUGUGUUUCUGGGAGGAGGGUCCGGCGGUUUUCAUCACGUCCGUCCUCCAAGGCCAGACCCAGGGAGUUUGAACCUGGAUUAAGGAAACACUAUUUGCAUGGUCUCUCCCGACUUUUGGCAUUUCCGCUGUGAAUGUUGGCAGGCCACGGUGGCAUUGGCGGGAUGUGUGGAGGGCACGGGCACUUUCCUGGCACGUGACGGCUGGAGACCGCUCCCGGCGUCACCUGUCCUCGGCUCCCCUGCCCGGUUGCACGACAGACCCGCACGGAUGGGUUCGUGUGGUGUCGACGGUCUUUUGAUGAAGGGUUCCGUUUGUGCCCCGCGUGUCCUGUGUGUUCCGUUUCCUGCAUUUAAAAGCCUUCUGAGAGGGGUGUCCAGGCCCCGCUACGUUGCGCAGGACCCUGCACCCAGGAGCUGUGCCCCGCCAGGAGCCCUGCCGCCCUGAACAGCCGCUCUGACAGCCGCUCUCCCUGUCCUCCAGGAGCUCACUUACAUCCGGCCGUGAGCUCCUCGAGGCCAGAGCCCGCGUCUGCCUCCACUCAGCGCCAGCCCGAGACUCCCGGAGGGCGUCGUGCCCACCACCACACGCACCUGGAGACUCGGCUGUGUUCCAGGAGCAGCUUCCAGAAUUGUCCGCACGCACCUUUUCUGAAAUCGUUCUCAUUUUAAUCGGGACGCUGCAAGCAAAACGAAAGGGGGAAAUUGUUUCAUUCUCGCGGGCGCGAGGGGGUAGCUGUCGCUCACGUGUUACUUUAGCCGGGGGUUUUGGGGUGGUGGGAGGGGUUGGGGAAAUUAGGCUUUGAAGGAUCUGACAGCUCGUACCUGCACGUUCCGUAUCCUUCACUGUCACUUGAAUCUGCUGCUGUCGCUGUGGGUUUCCGAUCGUUGAAAGGGUUCUAGGUCUGUCUGCAGACGGUGCCAUGGAACGUGGACAGAGGCCACGUGGGGGUCUGCGAUGCCUCUGAUGACUGUACCCGCGUCUUGUUUGAGAAUAAAACAUUUCUUUAAAACGUU